AUGCGUACUCCUUGAAUUCUUCCU
rnacentral:siRNA from 1 species